rnacentral:lncRNA from 1 species
UUCUCUCUAAUGAGUUGCCUCCCUCAACAAUAAAAGGUGUUGUUAAGGGGGGCGACUCCUAUACUGACACCUCUCUCUUAAGCCUUGUAAGUCAUAUUUUCACCAACCGAGAAACUCCCUCUUCAUGAAUUGUACAUAGCUUUUAGUAGAGGCAGGAGACAAAAUCCCCCAUUAAGGGACAAUACCUUCCAUUAUUGGGGGUUCAC